GACGAACGCUGGCGGCGUGCUUAACACAUGCAAGUCGAACGGUGAAGCGCCUUCCUUUUUGGUGGGUGUGGAUGAGUGGCGAACGGGUGAGUAACACGUGAGUAACCUGCCCCCUUCUUCUGAUUAACGGAAUGAAGGGUUGCUAAAUACGGGUAUUCCUGGUCCGGUGGCUUGAUGGGUCUGGGAAGGUUUUUGUUUAGGUGGGGGUGGGUCCGCGGCCUAUUAGGCUGUUGGUGGGGUGAAGGCCUUACCAGGCGGUGACGGGUAGCCGGCCUGAGAGGGUGGACGGUCACACUGGGACUGAGACACGGCCCAGACUCCUACGGGAGGCAGCAGUGGGGAAUAUUGCACAAUGGGCGCAAGCCUGAUGCAGCGACGCCGCGUGAGGGAUGGAGGCCUUCGGGUUGUGAACCUCUUUCGCCAGUGAAGCAGGCCUGCCUCGUGUGUGGGUGGGUUGACGGUAGCUGGAGAAGAAGCGCCGGCUAACUACGUG
rnacentral:rRNA from 1 species